UACGGGGGGGGCAAGCGUUGUUCGGAAUUACUGGGCGUAAAGGGCUCGUAGGCGGCCAACUAAGUCAGACGUGAAAUCCCUCGGCUUAACCGGGGAACUGCAUCUGAUACUGGAUGGCUUGAGUUUGGGAGAGGGAUGCGGAAUUCCAGGUGUAGCGGUGAAAUGCGUAGAUAUCUGAAGGAACACCAGUGGCGAAAGCGGCUUCCUGGUCCAGUACCGACGUUCAGGCACGAAAGCGUGGGGAGCAAACAGG
rnacentral:rRNA from 1 species